rnacentral:rRNA from 1 species
GACGAACGCUGGCGGCGUGCUUAACACAUGCAAGUCGAACGGAAAGGCCCUGCUUGCAGGGUACUCGAGUGGCGAACGGGUGAGUAACACGUGGGUGAUCUGCCCUGCACUUCGGGAUAAGCCUGGGAAACUGGGUCUAAUACCGGAUAGGAGCCAUUUUUAGUGUGAUGGUUGGAAAGUUUUUUCGGUGUAGGAUGAGCUCGCGGCCUAUCAGCUUGUUGGUGGGGUAAUGGCCUACCAAGGCGGCGACGGGUAGCCGGCCUGGGAGGGUGGACGGCCACAUUGGGACUGAGAUACGGCCCAGACCCCUACGGGGGGCAGCAGGGGGGAAUAUUGCACAAUGGGCGCAAGCCUGAUGCAGCGACGCCGCGUGGGGGAUGACGGCCUUCGGGUUGUAAACUCCUUUCGCUAGGGACGAAGCUUUUUGUGACGGUACCUAGAUAAGAAGCACCGGCUAACUACGUG